rnacentral:tRNA from 1 species
GGUGAGAUGGCUCAGUAGGUAAGAACACUUGCUUUGCAAGCAUGAAGACCUGGAUUCAAAUUCCCAUCACCU